rnacentral:lncRNA from 1 species
UUUAACAGCACAGGAAGUGUUACAUUCCAAAUACAAUUGGUGAAAAGGAUAAAAUUCCAGCAUAAAUCUUUUGAAAAGUGCAAUUGCUGUCAACUCCAAAAGUACAUCCCCUUAGGAUAUAGCUGGGACAGAGAAGUUGCCCAAUCCUGGUCAGUGUCCAUCUGCCAUUCAGUGUCAGUCACCUGUGACCUGCUGACUUUCAUACUUAAUCCUUGUUUUUGCCUACUGUUCUACAUUGAGUUCAAAACAAAGUUGGGAAAGCCUUGAAGAAAAUUGCAGGCAAGGAAGCAAACCUGAGAGAGAAAGAUGCUUACAGCGCAAAGGAGGCGGUGUGGCAUCCAGGUGACUUGCUCCAGCUUGGCUGAUGUCAGUACACUGAAGUGCUCUAAACUGAGGAACAUGGAACAGAUCAGAGGAAAGGAGAGAAACUUGAGCUAUUUCCGGUAACAUCGAAAAGUGUGAAACAGGGAUAAAAGGUGUGAAAGACCUACCUGUGCACUGAAGACUACUGAGCAUUGCCGAACAAAUUUAAGGAAGAGCCUCCAAAGUGAAGACGUACACCAUGUUCACAGGUCAGUUGAGUCACUACAAUCCUGAUCAAAAUUCUGGCAGACUCAUUUGUAGAAAUUGACAAGUUGAUCUUAAAGUUCAUAUGAAAAUUCGAAGGAGCUAGAAGAGCAAAAUAAAAAACCUUGAAAAAGAAGAGCA